rnacentral:rRNA from 1 species
GACACGGUCCAGACUCCUACGGGAGGCAGCAGUAGGGAGUAUUCGGCAAUGGGGGAAACCCUGACCGAGCAACGCCGCGUGAAUGAUGAAGGUCUUCGGAUUGUAAAAUUCUGUGGUAAGAGAAGAAAGAUAUAAAGAGGAAAUGCUUUGUAUUUGACGGUAUCUUGCUAGAAAGCCACGGCUAACUACGUGCCAGCAGCCGCGGUAAUACGUAGGUGGCAAGCGUUAUCCGGAAUUACUGGGCGUAAAGAGUGAGCAGGCGGUUAGAUAAGUCUAUGGUUAAAUGCAACAGCUCAACUGUUGUUCGCUAUAGAAACUAUUUAACUAGAGUGCGGGAGAGGUAAGUGGAACUCCAUAUGUAGCGGUGGAAUGCUUAGAUAUAUGGAAGAACACCAGAGGCGAAGGCGGCUUACCAGUCCGUAACUGACGCUCAGUCACGAAAGCGUGGGGAGCAAAUAGGAUUAGAUAUCCUAGUAGUCCACGCCGUAAACGAUGAGAACCUGAUGCAGGAGAUAUUCUGUGUCGAAGCUAACGCGUUAAGUUCUCCGCCUGGGUACUACGUUCGCAAGAAUAAAACUUAAAGGAAUUGACGGGCGCCCGCACAAGCAGUGGAGCAUGGGGUUUAAUUCGUCGAUACACGAAAAACCUUACCAGGGCUUGACAUCCCGCUAAAAGCCUUAGAAAUAAGGAAAUAGUUAUAGCGGUGACAGGUGGUGCAUGGUUGUCGUCAGCUCGUGCCGUGAGGUGUUAGGUUAAGUCCUCAAACGAGCGCAACCCUUGUCUUUAGUUGCCAUUAUUAAUUUAGGAACUCUAGAGAGACUGCCGGCGCAAGCCGGAGGAAGGCGGGGAUGACGUCAAAUCAUCAUGCCCUUUAUGCCCUGGGCCACACCCGUGCUACAAUGGUCGGUACAAAGAGAAGCAACACUGUGAGGUGAAGCAAAUCCCAUAAAGCCGAUCUCAAUUCGGAUUGAAGUCUGCAACUCGACUUCAUGAAGCUGGAAUUGCUAGUAAUCGCAGAUCAGCAACGCUGCGGUGAAUACGUUCUCGGGCGUUGUACACACUGCCCGUCACACCAUGAGAGCCGGUAAUACUCGAAGUCGUUAGCCUAACCGUAAGGAGGGCGGCGCCUAAGGUAGGACUGGUGAUUGGGGUUAAGUCGUAACAAGGUAUCCCUACGAGAACGUGGGGAUG